rnacentral:misc_RNA from 1 species
GAUGAAGAACGCAGCGAAAUGCGAUACGUAAUGUGAAUUGCAAAUUCAGUGAAUCAUCGAGUCUUUGAACGCACAUUGCGCCCCCUGGUAUUCCGGGGGGCAUGCCUGUCAGAGCGUCAUUGCUGCCCUCAAGCACGGCUUGUGUGUUGGGCCCCGUCCUCCGAUCCCGGGGGACGGGCCCGAAAGGCAGCGGCGGCACCGCGUCCGGUCCUCGAGCGUAUGGGGCUUUGUCACCCGCUCUGUAGGCCCGGCCGGCGCUUGCCGAUCAACCCAAAUUUUUUAUCCAGGUUGACCUCGGAUCAGGUAGGGAUACCCGCUGAACUUAAGCAUAUCAAUAAGCGGAGGA